rnacentral:rRNA from 1 species
UACGUAGGGUGCGAGCGUUGUCCGGAAUCACUGGGCGUAAAGGGCGCGUAGGCGGCGUUUUAAGUCGGGGGUGAAAGCCUGUGGCUCAACCACAGAAUGGCCUUCGAUACUGGGACGCUUGAGUAUGGUAGAGGUUGGUGGAACUGCGAGUGUAGAGGUGAAAUUCGUAGAUAUUCGCAAGAACACCGGUGGCGAAGGCGGCCAACUGGACCAUUACUGACGCUGAGGCGCGAAAGCGUGGGGAGCAAACAGG